UGCAGUUUGUAAUUCAUAUGGCCUAUGGGAUAUUCAGCUGCAAUGUAUAGCUCCAAAAGAUUGUCUUGAAUAUUAUGAGAAAUAUGGAAAUAGAUCAGACGGAUUGUAUUACAUUAAUCCACGACAAAAUUCCUACAUAGAGAAUAUCGAGGUGUUUUGUAAAAUGACGGAGAAUGUUACUGGAUUUGUUGGAGGAUGGAUGAAUAUUCCAGACGUAAACAUGGAAUCAUCACGUAACGAAACGUGGGCUUUUUUCAAUACCGCCAGAUGGAAUGAAUGGAUUGGGAAUUUUAAUUUACACGCUUUGACGUCUGAGAAGUCAAUGCUGAAAAUCAAUUGCAC